GAUGAAGAACGCAGCGAAAUGCGAUAAGUAAUGCGAAUUGCAGAAUUUCCGUGAGUCAUCGAAUCUUUGAACGCACAUUGCGCCCAUUGGUAUUCCGAUGGGCAUGCCUGUUCGAGCGUCAUUAUCUUCCCUCAAACCUCGCGUUUGGUGUUGGGCCGUGCUGGUUCCUGCGUGACCAACUGGCCUCAAAGACAAUGACGGCGUCCGUGGGACCCUCGAUGCAACGAGCUUCUCAGGAGCACGCGUCGAGUUUCAAGGACCUUCCGGGCCGGUCUUUCCUCAUGUUAUUACAAGGUUGACCUCGGAUCAGGUAGGGAUACCCGCUGAACUUAAGCAUAUCAAUAAGCGGAGGA
rnacentral:misc_RNA from 1 species